AUGGUGAGGGUAAUGCAACGAUUGAAGACGAUAAUGGUGCGGAGGCUGGAGGACGAGGGCAAUAGGGAUCUAGGGAUUCAGAGUUUGAAACCUUUAUCCAAUCUUCAACCUAUUUUCAAGCUUCUUGUCCUCCUCCGUAUAUUUGUUCCCCCUUCUGUAAUUUCAUUCUCCGCGCCUCUAUAA